rnacentral:rRNA from 1 species
GAUGAACGCUGGCGGCGUGCCUAACACAUGCAAGUCGAGCGAUCUUCUUCGGAAGAGAGCGGCGGACGGGUGAGUAACGCGUGGGUAACCUGCCUCAUACACAUGGGUAACAUACCGAAAGGUAUGCUAAUACAAGAUGAUAUAAGAGAUUCGCAUGGAUUUCUUAUCAAAGCUUUUGCGGUAUGAGAUGGACCCGCGUCUGAUUAGCUAGUUGGUAAGGUAAUGGCUUACCAAGGCGACGAUCAGUAGCCGACCUGAGAGGGUGAUCGGCCACAUUGGAACUGAGACCCGGUCCAAACUCCUACGGGAGGCAGCAGUGGGGAAUAUUGCACAAUGGGCGAAAGCCUGAUGCAGCAACGCCGCGUGAGCGAUGAAGGCCUUCGGGUCGUAAAGCUCUGUCCUCAAGGAAGAUAAUGACGGUACUUGAGGAGGAAGCCCCGGCUAACUACGUGCCAGCCGCCGCAGUAACAC